rnacentral:misc_RNA from 1 species
UCGAAACCUGCAUAGCAGAACGACCCGUGAACAUGUAACAACAUUUGGGUGUCCUUGGUAUCGGGCUCUUGUUCGAUUAAUUGGAUGCCUUGUCGAUGUGCGUCUUUGGUCAGCCCUUUGGGUCCUAAGGACGUCACUUGGCGCAACAACAACCCCCCGGCACGGCAUGUGCCAAGGAAAAUUAAACUUAAGAAGGGCUUGUACCAUGCUUCCCCGUUUGCGGGGUUUGCAUGGGAUGUGGCUUCUUUAUAAUCA